UGGGGAGAGGGACACUAUUCCACGGGGUGCCCACUUCUACCCAGGACCCCUGAGGACCUGGCCUGUUGCCAUCAUGCUCCCUGACGAUCCUUCCUAAGAGAUAGUAAUUUGGGGGGCAGUCUACAUGUGAUGGAGUUCAUCCUAUAUGUUUGAAUCAAUAUAGACCCAGCCGAAUAACAACUUUACACCAACUUUACAACUAAUGGACUUGCCUCAGACUGCCUGGCGACCAUAAGACCUUGGUAGCCUGGUCUGCACCAUGGCUAGAGACCUGGCCCCAUGAAGAGCUGGUUUUGGGACCUUGGGGAAAGGCUAGAGGGAGUGCUGUGGAAGAGGACAAAUGACUGUGUUCUAAAAACAAGCCACC